AAGGAACUCGGCAAAAUGACCCCGUAACUUCGGGAGAAGGGGUGCUUUCUUAACGGAAAGCCGCAGUGAAUAGGCCCAAGCGACUGUUUAGCAAAAACACAGCUCUCUGCGAAGCCGUAAGGCGAAGUAUAGGGGGUGACACCUGCCCGGUGCUGGAAGGUUAAGGAGAGGGGUUAGCGUAAGCGAAGCUCUGAACUGAAGCCCCAGUAAACGGCGGCCGUAACUAUAACGGUCCUAAGGUAGCGAAAUUCCUUGUCGGGUAAGUUCCGACCCGCACGAAAGGUGUAACGAUUUGGGCACUGUCUCAACCAGAGACUCGGUGAAAUUAUAGUACCUGUGAAGAUGCAGGUUACCCGCGACAGGACGGAAAGACCCCGUGGAGCUUUACUGUAGCCUGAUAUUGAAUUUUGGUACAGUUUGUACAGGAUAGGCGGGAGCCUUUGAAACCGGAGCGCUAGCUUCGGUGGAGGCGCUGGUGGGAUACCGCCCUGACUGUAUUGAAAUUCUAACCUACGGGUCUUAUCGACCCGGGAGACAGUGUCAGGUGGGCAGUUUGACUGGGGCGGUCGCCUCCUAAAGUGUAACGGAGGCGCCCAAAGGUUCCCUCAGAAUGGUUGGAAAUCAUUCGUAGAGUGCAAAGGCAUAAGGGAGCUUGACUGCGAGACCUACAAGUCGAGCAGGGACGAAAGUCGGGCUUAGUGAUCCGGUGGUUCCGCAUGGAAGGGCCAUCGCUCAACGGAUAAAAGCUACCCCGGGGAUAACAGGCUUAUCUCCCCCAAGAGUCCACAUCGACGGGGAGGUUUGGCACCUCGAUGUCGGCUCAUCGCAUCCUGGGGCUGUAGUCGGUCCCAAGGGUUGGGCUGUUCGCCCAUUAAAGCGGUACGCGAGCUGGGUUCAGAACGUCGUGAGACAGUUCGGUCCCUAUCCGUCGUGGGCGUAGGAAAUUUGAGAGGAGCUGUCCUUAGUACGAGAGGACCGGGAUGGACGCACCGCUGGUGUACCAGUUGUUCUGCCAAGGGCAUAGCUGGGUAGCUAUGUGCGGAAGGGAUAAGUGCUGAAAGCAUCUAAGCAUGAAGCCCCCCUCAAGAUGAGAUUUCCCAUAGCGUAAGCUAGUAAGAUCCCUGAAAGAUGAUCAGGUUGAUAGGUUCGAGGUGGAAGCAUGGUGAUAUGUGGAGCUGACGAAUACUAAUAGAUCGAGGACUUAACCAU
rnacentral:rRNA from 1 species